UACGGGGGGAGCAAGCGUUGUUCGGAUUUACUGGGCGUAAAGGGCGCGUAGGCGGCCACCGCAAGUCGGUUGUGAAAUCUCUGGGCUUAACCCAGAAAGGUCAACCGAUACUGCGGGGCUAGAGUGCAGAAGGGGCAACUGGAAUUCUCGGUGUAGCGGUGAAAUGCGUAGAUAUCAAGUAGAACACCAGUGGCGAAGGCGAGUCCCUGGAAAACUCCUGACACUGAGGCACGAAAGCUAGGGGAGCAAACAGG
rnacentral:rRNA from 1 species